CUCAGAGACACAGGAAGGUGGAGCAAUGAAUUCAGCAUAAGAACCCUGGGCGUGGCUACAGUCAGGUAAACUUCUAGUAGUAAGAAGAACUACUGCACACACAGCUUAACUUGAUAUUGUUGGUGGCUGCAUAGGACCACAGCCACAGCUUUGAGAAGUGUUUUUUUUUUUAAAGCAACAACAGCCUUGCUCUACCUGAAGAAACAAAUGGCUAUACGGGAAGAAAAUGGGAGUUUUGCCAAUAGCUACAGGAACCCUGCAUUUGAGGAGGAAAUCGAAAGUGAUGAUACAAACAAAAAGAAUGAUAUAGCAAUGAGACACAGGAACAUGGAAAAAGGCAAGCCCCUCCAUCCUAACCAGCUUGAUACAGACAUCAGUAUUGAAGGUGACCAGGAAGUGGACAAACAUGACUCAGGAGAAAGCAAGGACUCUGGGUGCAAAGGGUAAAAAAAAUCAUUCCGAAUUUCCCACUACCACUUUCCUCUUCAAGUGAAAUGUCACCACAUAGAUGUGUUCUGUUUGCCAAAUCAACAUUCAACACCAUAAUUCCAAAGGUGUCACUGAUGUGCAGAAGCCUAUUCCAGAGAUCAUCACUUGACCUUGAACUUCAGCCAAAACUGUUAUUGUUUCUUUCCUCUAAGUAACACAGAGGGACGUAUACAGGGCAGCCCCAUUUUAUUCUAACAAAAUCUUGGGAGGAAGAGACUUGGAGAGAUAACCACUUUCCCAAAGCCAGAACUUCUAGCAUUUAAGGCCCCAUAUUUUAUACAGAAUGUCAGAGAUCAGGGGAUGGGGAACCUCAGGGCCAAAUGCAGACCCCCGGGACUUACUUUCUAGUCCUUGGGACUCUCUCCAAUCUCCAGACCACAAAACCUCACCGCAGGCUGGAAUGUGUCCUUGAACUGUAAUAAGGUUUCCUGCCUGUCUGGAUAAAAGGCUGAGAAUCAGUGUGCCAAUACGUUUUUGAGUGACUCUACUCUGAAGACA
rnacentral:lncRNA from 1 species